rnacentral:rRNA from 1 species
AUACGGAGGGUGCGAGCGUUAAUCGGAAUUACUGGGCGUAAAGCGCGCGUAGGCGGUCUGUUAAGUCGGGUGUGAAAGCCCCGGGCUCAACCUGGGAAUGGCAUCCGAUACUGGCAGGCUAGAGUCUGGUAGAGGGAAGUGGAAUUCCGCAUGUAGCGGUGAAAUGCGUAGAUAUGCGGAGGAACACCAGUGGCGAAGGCGGCUUCCUGGACCAAGACUGACGCUGAGGUGCGAAAGCGUGGGGAGCAAACAGGAUUAGAAACCCUAGUAGUCC